CCGCGUUUUUCCUCCACACACGUCGCCGCUGGCCACUACGAAACACGAAGGCAGAGUGCAGCAGCCCACUCACGGCGUCUCGUUUCUCCUCCACCACGUCGGUGGCAGCCGCGAGAAAACGCAGCGCAGUGCACGGAAAACGCAGAGCCAUCAUCGGACUACGAUUCGCGGACGAUUCCGACCGCCACGACCACCGCGGAGACAGAUAUUUUGAAGAAGGCCUAAAUAAAAGGGCAAAAACCCAAUUUGUGGGGUUUUCAGCGGAAGAGCUUCCUCAACAUAGCAGACAGAGAAUUCGAAUCGACACAAUCUCCGUUUGUGUUCAUCAAAAUUAUCUCGUCAGAAGAUCGGAAAAGGUGUGUGGCUGUGUGGUUUAUAAGAAUCUCUUGGCAUUCCUAAGAACUCCUUCUCAGAUUGGAUUGUCAAUUUUCAUUAUCAAUAUGGACUUCCGAAAUUUUGACCCAAGACACACUGGGGAAUUAUUGAAGCACAUAGAUAGGCAGAAUGAGGUCCUUAUGGAAGCAUACAGAUCGAUGUUCCAUGAAUUACGGAAACUUCAGGUUGAAGAAGAAAUGCUUAUGCGCAAGAUGCAUGAAGUUAUGUCAACUCAUGGUCUCACCAAAAUGGUAGAUAAAAAGGAACCAGUUGCUCCUGAAGCGAUACUGGCAACUAGAGAAGAGCAGCGAAAUGGAAAGACAAUCUUGGAGUGGCUCAUCCGUUGGAAAGCUCAACCGGUCGAGGAGGCAACUUGGGAGGCAGCAGAGACGAUCAAAGAGAAGUUCCCUUCUUUCUGCCUCGAGGACAAGACAGAAACUAGAGAGGACGACAUUGAUGGUAACCCAUUACCUAUUGUUCUUGCACAACCUACAAGUGAGAAACCACCUUUGGUCUACACUAGGAGGUCCAAGGCCCAUGUGCCUAAGACUAGCUCAAACUUCCGGGAAUCACUAUUUGGGGAAGCGAGGAGUUAGUUAUAGAAGGGAAAAAGAAGAUAGAAUUUUAUAUACAGGGAGGGAGAAAACGUGGAGCUUGGCCAUUAUUUUUUUGUAAUUCCUUCGACUUCUGUUUACAUUAAUACACUUCCACCUCAAAUAGGUGGACGAGGAAUUAAUGUUAAAUAAGCAGUUAAGAACAGGUGGCGUGGCCUCUGUCUUCUUGUAAUAAUCGUUAUCCUAAUGCUUAUAGCGGUGGAACUUAACCCAUUCCAAUUUGAAGCUAAAGAGGAACAGUUCAGAAGACAUCGAGUAUAUAAAAUCAACGAACUCUUUUUGUUCAGCAAAUUUCUCCUUGUAUAGGUUUUAUUUUUCACAGUACAAAAUACUCAAUUUCAAGUUCACUCACUAAUGUGAGAAAGUUGAGUAAUAUCAAACAACCCAUUUGCAAAAUCUUGGAAUCCAUCAUUGCAAGAUACUUUUCAGAUAGAUAAUGUAUCUUGUUAGAUACAAGAGAGAAAAAUACUAUGAUUCCAAGACUUUCCAAUUUUAUGCCUUCGAUAGUUUUGUC